GCGGUGAGGGGUCGUGGACGAGGGAGAUGGAGGGGAUGAGGUCGGCAAUGGUGGAGGGCCCAUCAUCGCCUCAUCAAAGGGGAGGAGUGAGAGUGGUGAGAGUGUGAGGCAAGAGAGACAGAGUGGGGUUGGGAUCAGGAAGGGCCGGGGGGUAGAUUAGGUUGCUUCUCCUGUUUUUUUUGUAAGGCCUCUAUUUAGACCUUGUUUAGUUGGUG
rnacentral:lncRNA from 1 species